rnacentral:rRNA from 1 species
GAUGAACGCUGGCGGCGUGCCUAAUACAUGCAAGUCGAGCGAAUGGAUUAAGAGCUUGCUCUUAUGAAGUUAGCGGCGGACGGGUGAGUAACACGUGGGUAACCUGCCCAUAAGACUGGGAUAACUACGGGAAACCGGGGCUAAUACCGGAUAACAUUUUGAACCGCAUGGUUCGAAAUUGAAAGGCGGCUUCGGCUGUUACUUAUGGAUGGACCCGCGUCGCAUUAGGUAGUUGGUGAGGUAACGGCUCACCAAGGCAACGAUGCGUAGCCGACCUGAGAGGGUGACCGGCCACACUGGGACUGAGACACGGCCCAGACUCCUACGGGAGGCAGCAGUAGGGAAUCUUCCGCAAUGGACGAAAGUCUGACGGAGCAACGCCGCGUGAGUGAUGAAGGCUUUCGGGUCGUAAAACUCUGUUGUUAGGGAAGAACAAGUGCUAGUUGAAUAAGCUGGCACCUUGACGGUACCUAACCAGAAAGCCACGGCUAACUACGUGCCAGCCGCCGCUGUAA